UAUUUAUAGACUUGAAGUUGCUUAAGUGUUCACACAAAUUGCUUGAUGAUUUUAUUGUUUAGAGAGACUGAUAUUUGUUCUUUAACAAUGUGGUAAAAAGUAUAAGUAAAGAUUCCUUGAUUAAUUUAGGGUUAUUUUUAUUUUCGAUUGAGAUGUAUUUUUAUGUUUUGAUUGAUAAAUGGGAAUAAUUUUUAGUUUAUUUAAUUAACGAGUCUUGGUAAUUUUUGAAAACCGGUGUUGAGAUAUAGUUUUGAUUGGUUUUAGUUAAUAGAUUUUAGAUUUAUUGAUAUAAGACUUUUUGGGGUUAUAUGAU
rnacentral:misc_RNA from 1 species